AUUGAACGCUGGCGGCAGGCCUAACACAUGCAAGUCGAGCGAGCGGCGGACGGGUGAGUAAUGUCUGGGAAACUGCCUGAUGGAGGGGGAUAACUACUGGAAACGGUAGCUAAUACCGCAUACCAUCAGAUGUGCCCAGAUGGGAUUAGCUAGUUGGUGGGGUAACGGCCCACCUAGGCGACGAUCCCUAGCUGGUCUGAGAGGAUGACCAGCCAAACUGGAACUAAUACACGUUCCAGCAUCCUACGGGAGGCAGCAGUGGGUAAUAUUGCACAAUGGGCUCAAUCCGGAUGCAGCAUUGCCGCGUGUGUUAAGAAGGCCUUCGGGUUGUAAAGCACUUUCAGCGGGGCGGCGUUACCCGCAGAAGAAGCACCGGCUAACUCCGUGCCAGCAGCCGCGGUAAUUC
rnacentral:rRNA from 1 species